AUGUGUGAUAGGAAGCAUAUAUCUCAUGCGGGAACACUCGGUUCCUCGCAGUCACUACCUCUAAUCCUUGUCCUAUCCUCUCUUCUGACAUGCUCGUUAGUAGGUUCCACAGCUCUCCACGACCAUGGUGAUGCUACCACCGACUUUCAAGCCCUUCGUUGCCUUAAACUGCAUCUCAGCACUUCUUCUGCUGCACUCUCAACCUCGUGGAAGGUUGAUGAUUCCCUCCAGCAGUUCUGCACUUGGUCCGGUGUUACAUGCAACAAGUCUCGUGUUGUUGCACUGGACCUCGAGUCGCUCCACCUUGAUGGCCAAAUACCUCCUUGCAUUGCAAAUCUCGCUCUCCUCACAAGAAUCCACCUCCCAGACAAUCAGCUUUGGGGUCCAAUCCCGGCUGAACUUGGCCAUCUGAAUAGGUUGCAGUAUCUUAAUCUUAGCUCAAACAACCUUAGUGGCAUGAUCCCAAGCAAUUUGUCGGCAUGUUCUCAGCUUCGAGUAAUUGAUCUUGGGAGUAACUUCAUAAAAGGUGAGAUCCCACCAAACCUAAGCCAAUGUUUAAAUAUGCAGCAGCUGAACUUGGAUGACAACAAGCUCACUGGAGGCAUUCCAGAAGGGUUCGGGACACUUCGCAACCUUUCAGUUUUGAGUCUUGCUGGAAAUACUCUCACAGGCAAUAUUCCUCUUUCACUUGGAAAUAGUUCUUCUCUUCGCUCUGUUUAUCUCACCAACAAUAGCCUCACAGGACCUAUCCCGUCUCUCCUAGCUAACAGUUCUUCACUCCAGCUUUUGGUCUUAACUAACAAUCAGCUUGGUGGAGAGAUUCCACCCGCACUAUUUAAUAGCACAUCACUCGAAGUCUUGUCCCUUGGAAAGAACAACUUUACUGGGUUUAUACCUGCUGUUUUCCCGAAUAUUGCUGGCUCACCGUUGCAGUAUCUUAUCUUGGCAUCAAAUAAUCUUGUUGGCGCAAUACCUUCUACUCUAGAGAAUUUUUCUUCACUUUGCUGGCUCAUGCUUGCAAGAAAUAAUUUUCAAGAUAGCAUCCCAGUGAGUAUUGGUAAGCUUACCAACCUACAAGUACUAGACCUGAGUUACAACUACUUGUCAGGGAACGUCCCAGUCUCUAUUUACAACAUAUCAACACUCACAUACCUCGGCAUGGGUGCCAAUAUUCUGGCAGGGGAAAUUCCAACUGACAUUGGAUACACCCUUCCAGCCAUCCAAACUUUGGUCAUGGGAGUGAACAAAUUCCAUGGCCGAAUCCCCACUUCACUAGCCAACACAACAAAUCUUGAACACAUUUACCUCGGCAAUAAUUUGUUUCAUGGUGUUGUGCCUUCUCUCGGGACACUUCCCAACUUAGUCUACCUGGAUCUAGGCGUGAAUCGUCUCGAGGCAGGAGAUUGGUCUUUCUUUACCUCAUUGACCAACUGCACCCAACUGGUGGAAUUAUUCUUGGAUGCAAACAUCCUUCAGGGAGAUUUGCCUAGUUCCAUUGCAGGCCUUUCAAAGAGCUUAGAGGUAUUGUUAUUAACAGCAAAUAAAAUAUCAGGCCCUAUACCACAAGAGAUAGACCAGCUCACAAACAUCAAACGUCUUUACAUGGAAAAAAAUUUGCUUAGUGGAAGUAUCCCUGAAUCACUUGGAAAUCUUCAUAACUUGUUUGCCCUAAGCUUAUCCCAGAACAAAUUUUCCGGACAAAUUCCACUAUCAAUUGGCAGUCUCAGCCAAUUGAGCGAGCUAUACUUACAGGAAAACAAUUUGAGUGGCCCUAUCCCAGGAGCUCUAGGAGACUGCAAAAAAUUGGACAUACUGAACCUCUCUUGCAACAGCUUUGAUAGCAGCUUACCAAAGGAGCUCUUUACUCUUUCCAACCUUGCAGAAGGUUUGGACUUAUCUCACAACAAACUCUCAGGAGAAAUACCAUUGGAGGUUGGCAGCUUGGUCAAUCUCGGCCCAUUGAAUAUUUCCAAUAACCAGUUGUCUGGACAAAUACCUUCAACUCUAGGUGAGUGCGUCCACUUGGAGUCGCUGCACAUGGAGAGGAACAAUUUUCAAGGGAGAAUCCCCCAAUAUUUCACGAAUUUGAGAGGCAUCAUUGUGAUGGAUCUAUCUCAAAACAACUUGUCCGGUGAAAUCCCUGCCUUCUUUGAGUCAUUUAGUUCCAUGAAACUUCUCAAUUUGUCGUUCAACAACCUCGAGGGACCAAUACCACCAGGUGGAAUGUUUCAGAAUGCAAGCGAGGUGUUCAUACAAGGGAACAACAAGUUAUGUGCAAGCAGCCCAUUGCUAGAGUUGCCACUUUGCAAUGCAAUGAUAUCAAAACAAAAGCUGCACACCUCAAAGAUUCUGAAGAUGGUAACAAUUACUGCUCUUUGUUUGGUUCUGUUAUCAUGCGUUGGAGUCAUUAUUUGUAAGAAGAGAAAGAAAGCCAAACAGGCAGCACAUCCAUCUGUCAAGGAAUUAAAGAAGAUCACAUAUGCUGAUUUAGUGAAAGCCACAAAUGGGUUUUCUUUGACCAACUUGGUUGGUUCAGGAAAAUAUGGGUCCGUCUACAAAGGUAGAAUUGAGUCUGAAGAACAUCAUACGGUUGCUAUCAAAGUUUUUAAACUUGAUCAACUUGGAGCAACAACGAGCUUCCUUGCUGAAUGUGAGGCACUAAGAAACACUCGUCAUCGUAAUCUUGUAAGGGUGAUCACCGUAUGCUCAACAAGUGACCCGAUAGGAAAUGAGUUCAAAGCUCUUGUUCUUGAGUUUAUGGUAAAUGGCGACCUAGAGAGUUGGAUCUAUCCAACACUAAUCAACGAGCAUCAUCCAAAAAGGCCGUUGUGUAUGGGUUCAAGGAUAGCAAUAGCAGUGGACAUAGCUGCUGCUUUGGAUUACCUCCAUAACCAAUGCAUGCCUCCUAUGGUCCACUGUGAUCUGAAGCCUAGCAAUGUCCUUCUGGAUGAUGUCAUGGGCGCAUGUGUCGGUGACUUUGGGUUGGCUAAGUUCCUACAUGGUUAUUCUUCUUCUUCUGGGAUAGAUGGUUCUACUUGUACAAGCUUAGUGGGGCCAAGAGGAUCAGUUGGAUACAUUGCACCAGAAUAUGGCUAUGGAAGCAAAAUCUCGACGGAGGGUGAUGUUUACAGCUAUGGAGUCAUCAUCUUAGAGAUGCUCACAGGGAAGCGUCCAACUGAUGAGUUGUUUAAAGAUGGCCUGAGCCUCUACAAAUUUGUGGAAGAUUCAUUUCCUGAAAAGAUUGGGGAGAUUCUAGAUCCUAGAAUGAUCAUCCCCUAUUAUGGGAACCGAGAUGAAGAAGAAGCAGGCAGUUCUUCAGACCAGGAAAAUCAUCAAAUUGCUGCUGGAAUAAUGGGCUGCAUCACAGCUCUUGCUAAGCUUGGCUUGCUGUGCGCUGCGGAGACACCUAAAGAUCGCCCAGCAAUGCAGGACGUCUACGCUGAUGCCAUCACAAUCAAAGAAGAAUUUUCAGCACUGCAGGGCUGA
rnacentral:rRNA from 1 species